rnacentral:rRNA from 1 species
AAUAGAUACCCUGGUAGUCCUAGCCGUAAACGAUACUCGCUAGGUGUCGGCCACGGUGCGACCGUUGUCGGUGCCGUAGGGAAGCCGUGAAGCGAGCCACCGUGGGAAGUACGGCCGCAAGGCUGAAACUUAAAGGAAUUGGGCGGGGGAGCACCACGAACGGGUGGAGCUUGUCGGUUUAAUUGGAUUCAACGCCGGAAAUCUUACCGGGACCGACAGCAAUAUGAAGGCCAGGCUGAAGACUUUGCCGGAUUAGCUGAGAGGUGGUGCAUGGCCGUCGUCAGUUCGUACUGUGAAGCAUCCUGUUAAGUCAGGCAACGAGCGAGACCCACGCCCACAGUUGCCAGCGUACUCUCUGGAGUGACGGGUACACUGUGGGGACCGCCGCUGCUAAAGCGGAGGAAGGAAUGGGGCAACGGUAGGUCAGUAUGCCCCGAAUAUCCCGGGCUACACGCGAGCUACAAUGGUUGGUACAAUGGGUAUCUACCCCGAAAGGGGACGGGAAUCUCCUAAAACCAAUCUUAGUUCGGAUUGAGGGCUGCAACUCGCCCUCA